rnacentral:lncRNA from 1 species
AGCCCCUUGCCAUGCAGAUGGCAUUCAAGUACUUCUCACAACAUCCGAGGCAAUCCCAGGGCCCUUCUGAAAUUGUUCCCCGAAUAAUGUCAAUAGCAACGACUUCUUCCAGUGUCAGUUGCUGAACCCGAAGGCAGAGAAAGACAGCGCCAGCCUCUCUUAACACUCUACAUUCUAAUCAGGUCUGUGCUUUGACCUAUGAUUUCUACACCCUGCAUAGAGAAGUAAAUGAGAAGAGGGAUCAAAAGCCAGAGCAAGAGAUGUCUUGAGAUCUUUAUCCACCCUGAAUCUCCCUUCUUUAGAGAAGGGCACAUGCGGGAGGGAAGAGAGGAAGGAGAACUUCUAAAGAUCCCCUAGUUAUAUACAUGCAGCAACUCCCCACUCUGUCUCUGGACAAAAGCACCAUCAUCAUCCCCACGGAUCAGCAAAAAUGACCCUCGGUCUCUGGACAGCCAAACACAUGAAAUGCUUGAGCACGUAGCACUGGAGGGAACAAAGCUGGAGGCAGGCAAUGGUCUGGGUGGGUGAACAAGGAAAUAACUGAGUGGAGAAAAACAGAACAAUCUGGGAAGAAUGAGAAACAGACACUACACAUUACAAGGAGCUGAAACCCAUGCUCCGCCCUGCCUCCUUCCGAGUAUAUUCCUAAUCAGUCCUUUCCUCUCAAUUUCCGAAGUAGAGAUGUUGAAGAGAAAACCUUAAAAUGCUGAACGCUGCGGGUGGUUGGUGAACCAGAUUUAAAGACAGCAACAGCAGCCAGAAAAUUACAGCUACAAGGUGAAAAAUUAAGCGCUGAAACAAAUUCAGUUCACCACGCAAAGCUGAACUUGAUAGUUUCUUAAAGAAAGAUCAAGUGACAAGCAAAUGAAUCUGGUUUCCUAAUCCCCCUGGGAUUUUCCUUAAGAUGCCAUGAGUCCCUGAGAUGCUCAAUUUGCUUACAAUUAAACAGCAUUAGAAGACUAGAAACCUUCACACCCAGCCAUCAGGGGUCGGGGAGAAUUGGAGGAAGGAUCCACUUUCCGACCCUAUCAGACAACGAUGGACAUCUUUAGAGAUCAAUGUCACAAGACAAAGUCCCUAUGGGGUUGUAACUAUUAGAACACUUAUUCUCUUGGGUGAAUAAAGGAGUGAAAUGAUAGAAGAGGUUUAAUUAU